AUUUUCCCUUUUUUCAGGGCUCUUUUAUAUAUUCUGUAGUUGAGUACAAGCCACUGAAAUUCAACCGCUGGUACGUGUACCCUACCUGGGCAUACGUGUUGGGCUGGAUGUCUGCCCUCUCCUCCAUCCUGCUGAUACCGGGCUGUGCACUUUACAAGCUCAGCACGGCCACCGGAACCUUCAGUCAGCGUCUCCAUCACCUGUGCCGGCCAGAGCCGUUUGACUCGGCACCGACACGAAAGAGAAACACAGCAAUGCAAGAUAUCACUGAAGAGGAUCUUGAAUGUUUCUGAUUCAUGAGCAUUUAACGUAUCAGAAACAUAUUAUAA